rnacentral:tRNA from 1 species
AAGGUCUUAAGUUAAAUAAACUGAUAACCUUCAAAGCUAUAAAUAAAGAACAUAUCUUUAGGCCUUA